CCCUUAAUCAGAAGUUUGUAACAGAAACUUGUUUUGUAUUGCAAGUUUGUAACUGCAACCACCGAAAUUCCCCUCUUUUGAUCAAGCCCUAGCUAUCAAAUUUCAGGAAUAAUGGCUCGAGUUUAUGUCGGUAAUCUGGAUCCUCAAGUCACCGAACGUGAGCUCGAGGAUGAAUUUCGAGUUUAUGGCGUUCUUCGCAGUGUGUGGGUUGCUCGAAGGCCACCGGGCUAUGCUUUUAUCGAAUUCGAUGACAAAAGGGAUGCACUUGAUGCAAUUCAAGCUCUUGAUGGAAGGAAUGGCUGGCGAGUGGAACUGUCUCGUAAUACCAAGGGAGGUGGAGGUCGUGGUGGACGUGGGCAUGGGGGUGAUGAUAUGAAAUGCUAUGAAUGUGGUGAACCUGGUCACUUUGCUCGUGAAUGUCGCUUGCGAGUUGGUUCAAGAGGGGUAGGUGGUGGACGGCGUCGUAGUCCUUCCCCUAUUCGUCAUCGUGGAAGUCCUAGUUAUGGCCGCAGGAGUUAUAGCCCACGUGGAUACAGCCCACGAGGAAGGAGGUCACCACUACCACCAAGGAAACGGAGCAUAUCACCUGCAUAUCGUCGUGGUCGAAGCUACAGUAGAUCACCACCAGUUCGUCGUGCUCGUCGUGCCUCACCCUAUGCUAAUGGAGUUUGAUGCUGAUAAAUGGUGGUGGAGCUUUUUUGGAGGCAACAAUUGCAGGAUCCAACAGUAGUACUACUAGGAAUAGAGACUCUUGAUAUUACUGUGCAUAUUGAAGGCUACUAAGUGCUAAAAGUUUGCUUCGGGGGCUUGGAUGACUUCUAUGCUGUUUUAAUGUAGGAAGUUUACUGGACAUCCGUUCUGCAUCAGUUUGCUCUCUACAGCUCUCUGAAUGUUUGUGAUUUAGGAUGCAACGGCAUCGUUUCGACUCUUACUGCUUAUCGUGCUCCGUUUUUUCAAAUCUGAUUGUCUGCGUCAUCAUCUGCUUGUCAUCGCUUCUUAUCUUCGUGUCAUCAUGACUCUGGAACCCCAGUACAUUGGCUGCCCUCAAAACUUAAACUUUCAUCAUGUAUGACCAAGCUGCUCCACUUAGAACACAUGCACUAUGCUUGCCCUGGUUGAAGGAGAUGAGAUCUCGUCAUUUUUCAUCUAGCUUGGUUUUGAGGGCCAUAGGAACCAUCAAAAGUUUGUUUCUGGAAGAUCUAUAAGCAUAAUACACAAAGUGUUGAGAAGGAAAUAAACUGCACAUGCCUCUUUUGCUUUUAAGAUUCGCAAUAUAGUAACAUACUUCUCAGGGGACAUUAUGGACUUGACGUCCCUGCUUGUCAAUGAGACUUGGUAAAAGUACUGCUCCAAAUGUUAUGUCCUCAGGGCAAAAUAACCUUUUCUCUUCCACAGUUUGCAGGACAUCAGUCGAAGGCCCUCAGCAGGUAAGGUUGUUUUAUUUGCCUGCUUGCUAUUUGGGUAAGUCGAAAACAUGUUUCUUAGUCACUAACAUGACAUUGCUUUUCUCAUCCUCAAAUUAUAGAUGUGAUGUGAACAUGAUCGUUGCAUUGUCAUUUCUUUUCAUAUUUUGUUUGCCCAACAUCAUUUGAUAUUUGCAUAGUUUGAGAUGGGGACCUAGGAAGGAUUUAUUCUCCUUUUGGUGUGCUUCACUGGUAGUAGACUAUCAAGAACCACUGAAUUGUUUUGAAAAUAGUUAUCUGCUUUGAGACUGUUUCCUGCCUAAUAUGCUUAAUAAAUCAGGCUAAUGCUUAUUGGUCUACUUCUUAAAUGUCUAUGGAACUUUUUCUUGGGAUUUCUCAACUUGGCUUGCCUACAACUUACACAGAGGGCUUCUUUUUUAUUUUGACUUGGAAGAGUAUCAAACUGUGCAAGUCUUUAAAUGAUAAAAAUUAGCAUGUUGCUUCUUUGCUUUCUUUUGAUUAUUUUUGAAUAGAUAUUGAAUGUUAUUGUGAUUAGCUUUCACAUGAAACUGAACACGUAUUAUAUAUGAAGUAAUGGCUGUGCUAAUGGCAAUGAGUUUGUGUGCAACUUGCGUGGAAGGUCCUAUGUUAAGCUAUCGUUCUAUUCUGGCUGGUACAAUUUUAUUUUUUUUCAUAGCACUUGUGACAUCUGUGCAUAAUUUCACCUAAACGCCUGUGUAAAUUGCUGCUUGCUGUAUAGAUGUUGGUUGGUUUUUUACCUUAAGUAUGAAGAAUCCAGUGCUUCUUGCUACUUUUUCCAUGUGAUGUUUGGGGACAUCUUUCGUAUGACCUCUUCAAAUUCAAGUGAAUGAUUGUGGAUAUGCUUGAUAACCCCAGACAAUUGUUCUAAGCUUGGAGAUGGAGACCAAUUGAUUCUGUUUAUUGUCACCGAGCCGAAUAUUAGUUACACAUGGUUCUUAGUGUGAUUUAUGUCUCGUAUUUGAAUUAGUAUAAUUUUUUUUGGUAAAUUAUGUAAUUAGGGGUGAUAGUCUUGGUGUAUAAUUUCUUUACUUUUCCGAGUAGGUUUGUAUCCGUUAUGUUGUUAGUACGUAAAUUGAAUAGUAAAUCUCAAUUUAUUCUUGGUUCAAAAUUUAACCUGGCACCUAUUCCUUA